GGCUCGUUAGCUCAGUUGGUUAGAGCGCCGCGCUCCAUAUGCGGAGGUCGUAGGUUCGAACCCUACAUGAGCCC